UGCUAACUUCUGGCCAGAAAAGAGCAGAGUUUCCAUUCAGGGACCUAGUUUAGUAGAGAGGAAAACUUUCCCCAAGCCCUCAGGUCCACUGAUCAAAAUGAGGUCACAGGUCCUUGUCAUAGCAGCAAGGGAGGCUGGGGGAACAGCCAUGUGGCCUUCACAGCCCCUGUGAGGGAGACAGGCUCUGACACAGAAAAAGGGCAGUGAGGGGAGAGCGGCUGUCGGGAUUGCCCCAGCCAGGUCUGCUGUGGGGCACAGCGCUCAGGGAGAGAUGCAAGCAGUCACAUCCGCAGGUCCGGAGAGCAUCCCAUGCCAGAGAUUUUAAAGCUUCUUUCCUGAUCUGUAUCCUGGAGACAGCUGGGAAGAGGCAGCAAAGGCCACCAGGCCUCCUUGGUCAACACUGACAUCUCGAGAGGGCAAGAGAGAAGCAGGAGGAAGGGAGGGAUUGAUUUCUGCUGCAACCAUGUGAUUUCUGCCAGCAACCAGCAGAGAACAUGGUGGAAGCAAGGUCCCUGUAGAGCUGUGAAUCAUAAAUGGAAGGGAGCCUGGAAUCUCCUACUUUGUGGACAUCGGUGGAGCCACCAUGCAAAAGGGAUUGCACAGCCCCUCCCUGGGACUGGAGAAGUGACCAGGGCCAUGGGACAGCAGGGGUGUCCAGUGAGACAGGGGAGCAAGGGGACCCACAGGGCCAGCCCCCGUCGUUGCAGCUGACAGCGCUCAGAGAGGAUGGCCCCCACCCCCACCAGCCCAGCCUUAUUUACACCACCGCCUUCACUCCAGACCCAAGCUCAGCAGAACAUAGCAGUGCCUGGGAAGAAAGCUACUCCUCAGCUCCCUCUAGAGUCACAGACUCUCUUCUUGGUGAGGGGCAGCAGGCAGAGAUCGGGGGUGUCUCUACAAGCUCAGGCAUCUUCUUGUCCCUGCUUCUGAUGGGCUGGUGUCAGGGUGGGCACAUGGGCACUGGACCAGGUGGACAGCUGGGAUGGCACAGGCCUCUCCCACAUUUGAAGAAAACUGGGACACCACUGUCACGUUCCAGUGUCAAUCUCGGUACCAACUCUACCGUAGGAGCUCCCUGUGACUCUGGAGACACAACAAACUCAUCCAUCCACCCACCCAUCCAUCCAGUCCGACAUCCUGUUUCUCCCUUUCCCACCACAUGGAGUGCCCUUAGUGCCUUUUGUUCUGUGAAGCUUCAAGACCUUGACAUAAGCUGUUUCCUACACUGGGGCACUCCUCCCCCACCCAAGCCCUCUUUGCCUGGCAAGACCCUACUUGCCCAUCCAGUCCCAAUUCAGAUGUGACUUCUUCCAGGAAGCCUUCAUGCGCUGUCUGAUGGUGACGCUCCUCUGUGCUCCCACAGCCCCCGGGGUUCUCGUACUAUAGCAUUUAUCAUGCUGGGCUGUCAUCGCUGAGAUGAACAAAUAGACUAUUUCGUGCCUGCUGCAUUGCGAGCCCUACGCAGGGUGCUGGGGACAGAGGUGAAGAAGGCCCUGUCCCAUCCGUCCCACGGCUUCCAGGGACAGACAAGGGCCUAAAUCACUUGAACACGGUGGCCUCGUUCACACUGCGGUUGACCUGUCAGCAACUUUUGCUUCAGCUUUCUCACCACCAUCUUGAUCACCACCCCCACCACAUUUUCAAACAGUUUUAUUGAGGUAUAAGUGAUCUGUAAUAAACAGAUCUGUUUAAAGUGCACAGUUGGAUCUUUCUGGACAUACACAUACCCAUGAAGCCAUCACCACAAGCAAAUAAUGGACAUUUCUAUCCUCUCCAAAAGCUUCCUCCUGCCGCUGUAAUCCCUCCUCCUUCCAUCCCAGCCACUCCCUGUCCCCAGGCAGCCCCUACUUUGCUUUCUGUCAGUAUAGAUUAGUUUGCAUUUUCUAGAGUUUUCUAUAAAC